UGUUAAUUAUUUAAAUAAAUAAUUUGGCUUUUGUUUCAUCACAAAAUUUUAGAUUUUUCCUUUUUGUCUUUCCUUGCCUUUGUUAUGUUGAGAGGUCUGAGCCUUGUCAACAAAGUUGUAGACUUUGUAAAGGAUGUCCUCAGGGCAAGGGUGUAGGUUUAGUCUCAACGUUUUUUUUUCGCCCAAGAGUGCUAAGAUGGCGGCCGCUCUGAUACAUGAGUUCGACGCCUACAUGAGUUCGACGCCUCCCGCAUUCACAUCCAAGCUCAACCGGGCCAAAAGCACAAUUACUAGCCUGAGGGAAGAACUUCACAAUUGUUGGAGGAGUUAAAGACAAAAUCGGCAUUACUCACCUCCUACAUGGAUGUCGCCAUCUGACAAUCCCGUGCCAUCUCAGCACUUCAGACCUCCCUCCAUGACACACUGCCUUGGGAACCAGUCAGCCCAUGGCCUACGUCCACACCACACACUCACACCCAUCCUGGUCCUAGGUCGUGGUCCGCCUGGUGGCCCUUUCAAGCCGGCUCGAGGCCUUAUCCGAGCCGGGAAACCCUCCUACGACGACCACCACCACCUCUUCGCCUGGUGCCGGCUGGGAUGGUUCAGUGGAAGGAGCCUCCUCCUCAACGGACCUCGGACCAUCGGCAAACAGGUCCGGCAGAGCCUCUGGGCCUCUGCCUCGGCCUACCGUCGAUGAGUUCCCUGUACUCGCUGAGCGGACCUCCCCGCCUGCUGCCGGCGGGGUGGGGGCGCCGCUGUACGCUGGCGCAAAGUCGGCCUCCCUGCUGAUGAGCAGCGGCAUCUGUGUGCAGCCCGGCUCUGACUGGGGUCCAGCCUCCCCGCCGGCGCCAGCUAGAGUGCGGAAUGACUCUCGCUCCCGCCCGG